rnacentral:rRNA from 1 species
UACGUAGGGACCAAGCGUUGUUCGGAUUUACUGGGCGUAAAGGGCGCGUAGGCGGCGUGUUAAGUCAGCUGUGAAAUCUCCGAGCUUAACUCGGAACGGUCAGCUGAUACUGAUGUGCUAGAGUGCAGAAGGGGCAAUCGGAAUUCUUGGUGUAGCGGUGAAAUGCGUAGAUAUCAAGAGGAACACCUGAGGUGAAGACGGGUUGCUGGGCUGACACUGACGCUGAGGCGCGAAAGCUAGGGUAGCAAACGGG